UCUCGGUUGUAAAAUUAACUUUGUUUACCCGAGUACUAUGAAUAAUAAAAUUUAAAACUCAAAAAGCUUGGCGGUGUUUUAGACCUUUUAGGGGAACCUGUUUCAUAAUCGACAGUCCACGCUAAACCUGACCUUUUUUUGUAUAAACAGCCUGUAUACCGUCGUCGUCAGGUAACUUUUAAAAAUCUAGAAGUUAGCAAAAAACAGAAAUUAAAGUUAAACGUCAGAUCAAGGUGCAGCUCAUGAAAAGGCGAAGAUGGGUUACAAUUAUAAAAUUAUAAAACGAAUAAGCAAAUGAAAAUUUUUCUUAAGAAGGAGGACUUAAAAGUAAAACAUAUUAUAAAAACAAUUUGAAUAAGGCUCUGAGACGUGU
rnacentral:rRNA from 1 species